GAUGAACGCUGGCGGCGUGCUUAACACAUGCAAGUCGAACGGAAAGGCCCAAGCUUGGUUGUGUGCUCGAGUGGCGAACGGGUGAGUAACACGUGUACGAUCUGCUCUGCAUUUUGGUAUAUGCCUGGGUAACUGGGUCUAAUACCGUAUAGGAUCCUCGUUGAGUGUCGGUGGUGGAAAGUUUUUCUGUGUGGGAUGAUCUCGCGGCCUAUCAGCUUGUUGGUGGGGUAAUGGCCUACCAAGGCCUCGACGGGUAGCCGGCCGGAGAGGGUGGACGGCCACAGUGGGACUGAGAUACGGCCCAGACUCCUACGGGAGGCAGCAGUGGGGAAUAUUGCACAAUGGGCGCAAGCCUGAUGCAGCGACGCCGCGUGGGGGAUGACGGCCUUCGGGUUGUAAACCCCUUUCGCCCAGGACGAAGCGUUUUGUGACGGUACUUGGAGAAGAAGCACCGGCUAACUACGUG
rnacentral:rRNA from 1 species